AUGGAAAAUGGAAAAGAUAAAAUUUUAAAUGCUUAAUGUCAAAUGCCAGUGGUAAAAUGGAAAUGCAAAAAAUAUAUAUUUUUUUCUGUUUAAGCUUUUAUUUGAAGUAUUUUCAUUCAAGCGUUUCCAUUUCCCAUUUUUAGUUUCAUGUUUGAUGUUUCUCUUUUCAUAUUUCCAUUGCCAUUUUCAAUUUCAUCGUUACAAUUUAAGCUUUCAGUUUGAGCAUUUCCAUUGAAGCUUUUGCAUUUUAAAUUUCCCUUUUUUCAAUGUCACUUUACAGUUUCAAAUGAUCAUUUUACAUUUUAAACUUGCUUUUUCAAUUUCCUUUUUAUUGUUCAGUUUAAUUAUGGCCGCCUGAUUAUUCCUAGUAGUGUAGUAAAAUGAUCUUUUUAAUUUGAUCUCUUUAAUUUUCUAUUUAGACUUUUAAUUUGAAUUAUGACCAAAAAUAUCCUCCAUACAAGAGAGGAUCAACAUCAAUUAACACUGAAACAUUUCAGAUUGCAAAAUUGGAAAUAUGCACAUAUCUGUUACUUUGUUUGGAUUCUUUUCAAAUUGACCAUGUCAUCCAGAACAACAGGAUUGAUGUUUGGGAAAGAAAAAAAAGUAUUCCAAUUAAUAUACUGAUUUCUUUGAAAGGUUCAAACAAAGGUGUGUGUGUGUGUGUGUGUGUGUGUGCAACAUUAAGUCGUUCUCUUCUCAUCCAUGGGAUAACCAUAAGGAAAGUAUUAUAAUGACCACUUACGUUCACCCUCUAGCCAUGUUCCUAUUGACUGAUGAGGUUUGUAAUGUGUUCAAUAUGUUGUUAAGUAAAAAAAAAAAAGCAAACCUUGACACACCUAACCUGCUCAUUGUUAAAGAAUAAGACUGGUGGUAACCUGGAAAAGUUGACUUUUCUUUAAAAACGUAUGGCAACUGAUUGCCUUAAAACAAUUAAAGUGGUCAUAUUAUGCUCAUUUUCAGGUUCAUAAUUUUAUUUUGGGGUUGUACCAGAAUAGGUUUACGUGGCUUAAUUUUCAAAAAAAACCAUUUUUUCUCAUACUGCACAUUGCUGCAGCACCUCUUUUCAUCCUGUGUCUUGAACACUCUGUUUUAACUACUGAGUGAGGCAUCUCACUUCUGUCCAAUUUUUUUCGGGAGAUGCACAUGCACAGUACCGAGGUAAAUGCACAGUACCGAGGUAAGUACUACUAGCCAAUCAGAAGCAGAGUAGGGCGGGUCCCGACGAGCAAGGUAGUGUGAUCCAAAACAAAGCUGAUUCAGCCGGUAACAAUGGCUUUGGUUCAGUCGUAUAUGUUCGAGCCCAAGUCUGAUACCGAAACACAGGCAGAGCAACCUGAACCAGCUUCACAACUGAGACUGGAGCAAGACGUUUCAGAGUGGUGCAGUUCAUAAAUUGGACCAGACAGAAGGCACAUUACCUGAGGUGGGUUCUUCAGUUCAUCCAUGACAACACUGCCUUUCAAGAUGUUCCCUGCUUUUGAUGGGUUCAGGUGAGGAGAAGCCAGGUUUGGGGCCACAUCUUCCUGAAGGCAGAGGAGUCCAACAGGAAUGUCUUUGAAGGCGUUCUCAUUAUCAAUAUCCUAAAAGGCCUCAUUACACCGCUGCACUACACAAUGAGUGGAGCGCCAGGGUCAAGACUGCGCCACGCUCCCUUUGACUGGCUCCGACUGGGCUUUUCAGCUCAACCUCACCCCAAAGGACUCCCAGGUAAACAGGAAGAGGGGCAGCCUCCGGAGACAGAGACAGCACACAUCACCCCGGACUAAAUAAGCAACCCCCCUGCAGUCCUGUAUCCAUCAGGGGCCCUGAAUGUGUUGCCUAUGUACAGUAUGUCUGUAGACAAAACUGACAAUAGUUACAUGGAGAAAUCAUUGAGUGGUGCAUGAACUGGUCCAGUUUAUUAGGUUUAUUUUGAAUGUCAGCUUUGCAUUUGGAUAGUUGAGGUUUGCAUUGUGUUGGAGCCUAGACAUCACUUGUAUGUCUAAAACAUUUCAAGCUAUUUUUACGUUACGUCUACAAGGUCAUGUAUUUUAUAUUAAAUACAUGCUGGUGUUGUCAUUUCACAGAUUGUGUGAAUCAGUUGUUUUUUCUUCAAACUUUCAGG